rnacentral:rRNA from 1 species
UACGUAGGGUGCAAGCGUUAAUCGGAAUUACUGGGCGUAAAGCGUGCGCAGGCGGUUUUGUAAGUCUGUCGUGAAAUCCCCGGGCUCAACCUGGGAAUGGCGAUGGAGACUGCAAGGCUAGAAUCUGGCAGAGGGGGGUAGAAUUCCACGUGUAGCAGCGAAAUGCGUAGAGAUGUGGAGGAACACCGAUGGCGAAGGCAGCCCCCUGGGUCAAGAUUGACGCUCAUGCACGAAAGCGUGGGGAGCAAACAGG